AUCUUGCUGGAAUGCAUCCCUGCGCACCCAGAAACCCUUUGUGAACUUAUACCCCUUUGAAGCCUCGGCGCUAGCUGGUCCUCCGGGGCCCCUCACCCCCGGGUGUUGAGACAGCCCGCCGGCGGCCAACCCAACUCUUGUUUUUACACUGAAACUCUGAGCACAAAACAUAAAUGAAUCAAAACUUUCAACAACGGAUCUCUUGGUUCUGGCAUCGAUGAAGAACGCAACGAAAUGCGAUAAGUAAUGUGAAUUGCAGAAUUCAGUGAAUCAUCGAAUCUUUGAACGCACAUUGCGCCCUCUGGUAUUCCGGAGGGCAUGCCUGUUCGAGCGUCAUUUCAACCCUCAAGCCUGGCUUGGUGAUGGGGCACUGCUUUUACCCAAAAGCAGGCCCUGAAAUUCAGUGGCGAGCUCGCCAGGACCCCGAGCGCAGUAGUUAAACCCUCGCUCUGGAAGGCCCUGGCGGUGCCCUGCCGUUAAACCCCCAACUUCUGAA
rnacentral:rRNA from 1 species